rnacentral:rRNA from 1 species
UGAGACCUGAUGCCGAGCCGAUUGUGGUGAAGUGGAUGAUCCUAUGCUGUCGAGAAAAGCCUCUAGCGAGUUUCAUGGCGGCCCGUACCCUAAACCGACUCAGGUGGUCAGGUAGAGAAUACCGAGGCGUUCGGGUGAACUAUGGUUAAGGAACUCGGCAAAAUGCCCCCGUAACUUCGGGAGAAGGGGGGCCAUUCCUGGUGAUGGGCUUUGCGCUCUGAGCUGGGGGUGGCCGCAGAGACCAGCGAGAAGCGACUGUUUACUAAAAACACAGGUCCGUGCGAAGCCGUAAGGCGAUGUAUACGGACUGACGCCUGCCCGGUGCUGGAACGUUAAGGGGACCGGUUAGCUCACCUUCGGGUGGGCGAAGCUGAGAACUUAAGCGCCAGUAAACGGCGGUGGUAACUAUAACCAUCCUAAGGUAGCGAAAUUCCUUGUCGGGUAAGUUCCGACCUGCACGAAUGGCGUAACGACUUCUCGACUGUCUCAACCAUAGGCCCGGUGAAAUUGCACUACGAGUAAAGAUGCUCGUUUCGCGCAGCAGGACGGAAAGACCCCGGGACCUUUACUACAGUUUGAUAUUGGUGUUCGGUUCGGCUUGUGUAGGAUAGCUGGGAGACUGUGAAGCUCGGACGCCAGUUCGGGUGGAGUCGUCGUUGAAAUACCAGUCUGGUCGUGCUGGAUGUCUAACCUGGGUCCGUGAUCCGGAUCAGGGACAGUGUCUGAUGGGUAGUUUAACUGGGGCGGUUGCCUCCUAAAGAGUAACGGAGGCGCCCAAAGGUUCCCUCAGCCUGGUUGGCAAUCAGGUGUUGAGUGUAAGUGCACAAGGGAGCUUGACUGUGAGACCGACGGGUCGAGCAGGGACGAAAGUCGGGACUAGUGAUCCGGCGGUGGCUUGUGGAAGCGCCGUCGCUCAACGGAUAAAAGGUACCCCGGGGAUAACAGGCUGAUCUUCCCCAAGAGUCCAUAUCGACGGGAUGGUUUGGCACCUCGAUGUCGGCUCGUCGCAUCCUGGGGCUGGAGUCGGUCCCAAGGGUUGGGCUGUUCGCCCAUUAAAGCGGUACGCGAGCUGGGUUUAGAACGUCGUGAGACAGUUCGGUCCCUAUCCGCUGUGCGCGUAGGAGUCUUGAGAAGGGCUGUCCCUAGUACGAGAGGACCGGGACGGACGAACCUCUGGUGUGCCAGUUGUUCUGCCAAGGGCAUGGCUGGUUGGCUACGUUCGGGAGGGAUAACCGCUGAAAGCAUCUAAGCGGGAAGCCUGCUUCGAGAUGAGGACUCCCACCUCCUAGAGAGGGUAAGGCUCCCAGUAGACGACUGGGUUGAUAGGCCGGAUAUGGAAGCACGGUAACGUGUGGAGUUGACCGGUACUAAUAGGCCGAGGGCUUGUCCUCAGUUG